AUGAUCCUGUGGCUGAAUUUGGUUUCCUUCCUAGCAGUCCUCAGAGGUGUCCUGUCAGAGGCCCAGUUGGUGGAGUCCGGAGGGGACGUGAGGAGGCCUGGAGAGUCCCUCCGCCUCUCCUGCCAAGGCUCUGGUUUCAACUUCGGGGGCUAUUCGAUGAACUGGGUGAGGCAGGCCCCUGGCAAAGGGCUGGAAUGGGUGGCACGCAUAUGGUCCGAUUCCAGUAAGCAGUACUAUGCAGAGUCUGUGAAGGGACGCUUCACCAUCUCCAGGGACAACUCCAAAAGCCAAGUCUAUCUGCAAAUGAACAGCCUGAAGCCGGAGGACUCGGCAGUCUAUUACUGUGAAGAAAAUGGCAAAUCUCAGUACCCUCCUGAAAGAAUCAGGAAUUCAGGCUCUGGGUUCGACUUUGGCAACUCUGGCAUGAACUGGGUGCGACAGGCCCCUGGAAAAGGGCUGGAAUGGGUGGCAUACAUAAGGUCCGAUUCCAGUACUACUUACUACUUGGACAAAGUCAAGGGUCGCUUCACCAUCUCCAGGGACAACUCCAAAAGCCAAGUCUAUCUGCAAAUGAACAGCCUGAAACUGGAGGACUCGGCAGUCUAUUACUGUGUG